AGCUGAGUAUUAAUCAGGCCUCUUUCUUUUGUGUGUUCUAACUUAUGUGCUCUAGCUUACCUCUUGUGUCCUUCUUUCAGGAAGAAACCUGUUUUCUAGUCCCCAGUCCUCCUUCUGGUCUUCAGUCCUUUGCCUCUUCACUUGCCAAAGUUCCCUGGUGAACUCACCUCAGGAUCCCCUCCAAGAAUCUCCUCACAGCUUCUCCAGUCGCUCAUCCGUGAAACCGCUGUUUGGACCUUCCUGCACCCCAACUGCAGAACUCACCUGCCUAUCCACCCCCCAAUGCUCAACUGCUCCACGGUCAUCUUCACCUUCCCUGGAACAAGGAAACAAACAUCAUCAAACAAACCACACACUGCAACCUUUCCCGGGCCCCUGUGGUUAUUCCCACCAUGGAUCUCUCCCUGGAUUCAAUUCAACUCUGAUCAGUGUUCAUGGUGAGGAGUUUGUUUCUAUUGCUGUUGGCUAUUGGUGGGGAGGUUGCCAGUCCAUCACAGGACAGCACACUCAUGGAUAACAGCAAUUUAGAAAGAUCAAUUAACAUAACAUGAAUGUUCUUAAACUGUAAGAGGAAGCCAUUUGAGUAGAGAAACUAGACAUGCAUGGGGAGAACAUGCAAACUCCAUCCAUAAGACUCGAGGUUUGUAUUUAAACCCAGGGCCUUCUUCCUGCAAGGCAAUAGUGCUAACCACUGUGCUACCUUGCAGCAAUAAUUGCAACAAUGUCAUGUCAUUGUGUUGGAGUAUGGGCCCAGUAUCCUGCUGACAGAGGCUAUUGCCACCAGGAUGUGGUGACAAGACAUCAUGUCAGUUCACCAUCAGGUGAGCCUGUUCAGGAGCAAGUUGUCCCAUGUUGGUGGAAUUCAGAGAGAAAGUCGCUGCAGCUUGUGUAAAAGCUAACAUCCGAUAGAGAAAAAGUAUUUUCUUCAGCCCUGUAAUACAGUGGAAUUUUUCCCAAAACUGUGAAGAAGUUCUUUCAAGUUGCCAUACAUUCAAAUACCUUUUUCUGUCAGUAUGGCUCAUAUGACACCUGGGUUACAGAAAGUGUCCACACUGACCUUCUGAAAUAUCCAUGCAGGUAAAACAGACUUGUGAGCUGCUCAUUCAAAAAAUAAUGACCAAUUUUGCAGGAGACACAUUGGUUGUUCACAAUUUCAGAAUAUUCAUGUUGUUCAUCUGUGCCACCCUCAUCUCUCCUGUUUGCAUAUUCAUUCUCAGCGUAUUCUUCUAGCCUGUGCCACUGUUGUGUUUUUGAGUUUGUGCUUUUGUCUAUUUUACCCGGUCUGGUCCUUGUUUCCUUCUGUUUUCAGCAGCCUAGUUCGCACCUGUUUCUUGUUUCUCCAAGUUACCUGGUCUUGCUUUCAUUGGUUCUCCCUGCAUUUCCUGUUUGUAUUUAAGUUCCUUAGUUGCCUUUGUUCCCUGCUGUGUCUUGGGUCAUACUUAUCUCAAUGCCCUUGUCGUACCUGGCUGUGUAUCCUAUGUUCUGUCCCGUUUCUGGUUUCCCUGCCUGGUCCGUGAUUGAGAACAAUAAAUAUCGGCCUUUUCAUUAUU